AUUGUUACUUUGGCAUUUCUUUUUGAAAAUAUUGUUAUUUUGGAAUUUAAAAAAAAUAAAUUCUGCAAUCAUAUCAAAAUAACAAAAUAAUGUCAAUUCUAUAAUCACAACCACUAAAAUAAAUGCUACGACAAUAAAAAAUACAAAAAUUUAUUUAAGAUAAAAACAAUUUCUAAUCUUCCUCUCUUCCAUCUUCAUCUAUGCUUUCUCUAAUCUUCCUUUGUUCCAUCUUCAUAGUAAAUAGUAGCAUGACAAUGAUAAUAGGAUCGUGAGAAAUAGCCCGGUUGAAUGAGCAUAGACUUCUUAUAUUGAACUACGACGACUUCCUCUGCUAUGAUCCAGCUAUCGCAAUCGUUCUCAACAACUCUGACAAAAUUAAUACAUAAGAGUGUCACAUGUUAGGAUAUAGAUAUCAUAGAAUUAGAAUUAGUUAGGAAGUUAGUUAUUUGUUUAGUUAGGAUUAUUUUGUAUAAAUAGGGAGUUAGUUAUCUCAUUGAACUAUGAACAAUAAGAUAUAAUGUCAAAAUUGCGGCGAAUAACAAGUGGAGGCUUCAUUUAAAAAUACUAGAACACAACACAAUCCAGAGGGAAUUUCUUUCAUACGAAUGCUUCUUUCUUCAAUUCAAUCUGCUUCGUGGCUGUUUCGGAGAAGCUGUUAACGAAACUCAGUCAAAACCAUUUUCCAUAUUGAUAUAGGUUCCUUAACAAAGUGGAAAAUGAAUCAUAAAUAAUUAUAGCAAAUAUUCAAACACGCACACGUUUUUACAACCGCGUUAGCGCAUUAAAUCUCCUUUCUAUAUAUACACACUACUCUUUGUUCCUUUAACCUCACAAUUCAUUCUUUCAAUUUACAUUUUUCACUACAACUCGUUUUCUUCCUUUAAUCUCAUUAACAUCAAUUCUGUAUCCAUUUCCUCUUCGUAAAACAAUGGCAGAUAUUAAGCAACCACAAUUGAACGGAGCAUACUACGGUCCCGCCAUUCCACCACCAGCACAACCCCGUCCGCACCACCACCGAAGCAGAAGCUGUUGUU
rnacentral:lncRNA from 1 species